rnacentral:lncRNA from 1 species
UGUCUAUGUGUGUGUGCAUGUGUGUGUGUAUGUUUAUCGUGGGGAAGAAGUUUGUGAGUAGAAGCAGCGGAUUGAGAAUCUGGAUAAUAAGAAAAUAUUCUAUUGAUCCUGGUGAUUUGAAUGUACGAUAGGAGCUGGUUGUCAACUGAUUUAAUCAGUGGGUAUUUCAGUAUGAGGCAUAGUUGGUGACUGAGCUUUCAUGUGGUAAUCUGAGG